rnacentral:rRNA from 1 species
CCCAGNAAACGAUGAGGAUUGACAGNNUNAGAGCUCUUUCUUGAAUUUNNUGNGUGGGUGGUGCAUGACCGUUCUUAGUUGNUGGAGUGAUUUGUCUGNUUAAUUGCGAUAACGANCGAGACCUUAACNUGCUAAAUAGCCCGUAUUGCUUUGGCAGUACGCUGGCUUCUUAGAGGGACUAUCGGCUCAAGCCGAUGGAAGUUUGAGGCAAUAACAGGUACUGUGAUGCCCUUAGAUGUUNUGGGCCGCACGCGCGCUACACUGACAGAGCCAGCGAGUACUCCCUUGGCCGGAAGGCCCGGGUAAUCUUGUUAAACUCUGUCGUGCUGGGGAUAGAGCAUUGCAAUUAUUGCUCUUCAACGAGGAAUCCCUAGUAAGCGCAAGUCAUCAGCUUGCGUUGAUUACGUCCCUGCCCUUUGUACACACCGCCCGUCGCUACUACCGAUUGAAUGGCUCAGUGAGGCUUCCGGACUGGCCCAGAGAGGUCGGCAACGACCACUCAGGGCCGGAAAGCUAUCCAGACUCGGUCAUUUAGAGGAAGUAAAAGUCGUAAUCAAGGU